AUCUCCUGCUUCUCAGCAUCGUCAGCCCUUCUGAGCAUCAUCAGUUCGUUCAUUUCCCAUCCCCGUAAGGAUACAGUCCCAGUCUCUACGUUUAUGAAGUUAGGAUGAACACAGUUCUUUUUUACUCUUCCUUAUCUGGUGCUGCAAAGUUGGUGGUAGCUGUGGCAGUAUUUUUACUGACAUUCUAUGUUAUUUCUCAAGUAUUUGAAAUAAAAAUGGAUGCAAGUUUAGGAAAUCUGUUUGCAAGGUCAGCAUUGGACGCAGUUGCACGUUCUACAAAACCUCCCAGGUAUAAAUGUGGGAUCUCAAAAGCUUGCCCUGAGAAGCAUUUUGCUUUUAAAAUGGCAAGUGGAGCAGCUAAUGUGGUAGGACCCAAAAUCUGCCUGGAAGACAAUGUUUUAAUGAGUGGUGUUAAGAAUAAUGUUGGAAGAGGGAUCAAUGUUGCCUUGGUAAAUGGAAAAACAGGAGAUCUAAUAGACACCAGAUAUUUUGACAUGUGGGGAGGAAAUGUGGCCCCAUUUAUUGAGUUUCUGAAGGCCAUACAAGAUGGAACAAUAGUCUUAAUGGGAACAUAUGAUGAUGGAGCAACCAAACUCAAUGAUGAGGCCCGGCAGCUCAUUGCUGAAUUGGGGAGUACAUCUAUUACUCAUCUUGGUUUUAGAGACAACUGGGUCUUCUGUGGUGGAAAAGGCAUUAAGACAAAAAGCCCUUUUGAACAGCACAUAAAGAACAAUAAGGACACAAACAAAUAUGAAGGAUGGCCUGAAGUUGUAGAAAUGGAAGGAUGCAUCCCCCAGAAGCAAGACUGAUGUGGAGAAAAUUGAAGGGACCAUACUUUCACUUGCUAAUGGGAAAGCCCUAACCGAAAAACUACAUCAGACCCCGGAGAGCUCCCUGGCUGGGCUUCUCUGCCGUGUGAGGACGCAGUGAGAAGAUGGCCAUCUGCGAACCAGGAAGCAGGCCGUUUCCAGACACCGAGUCUAUUGACACCUUGAUCUUGGACUUCCCAGUCUCCAGAACUGUGCUGUUGGUACUGCUUGGAUGUCACCUGAUCAGAUGAACAAACUCAGUACUGGUGCGAGGAAUUCUUUGCAGGGUCUUAGCCUUCUGCGUCACCAGUGGAAUGAGAUGGCGGACCUGGAAAUUGGCUUCUCUGCACCCCCGUGUAGAGGGAACCUGAUUAGAGAAGUACUGUGUGGUUCGUUUGACAAGAAUAGAAAUGAAUUUCAAAGAAAAUGUCUUGCAGGUCCAAGCUCAGAGCAGAGGAGAAGUGAAAGCAAACGAUGCUGGGGGGUAGAAAUAUGUUCAGUCUUGGGGAAGACUGUGGUCUCAGUGGUCCCUGAGGGUUGUGAUUCUCAUGGGGAGGCCCUGGGUGGAAGAAGAAGAGUGGUUGGUGAGGAUAUCCUGAGGUGUGAGGAAUGAGCCCGUGUGCCCUUGACCAAGGGGAGUGCACCUUUCCCUGGUGACUUUCUGUUCUCCCUCAGGGAGAGAACCUGGGAUUUAAGAUCAGUAAAUGAGGUGACACUUCAACUCCUAUGGAAAUCUGAAACUUUUGGCCUGGGAAUGGGGUUGAGAGCCAAUUCUUGUGGAACUGUUAAAAUCCCAUUAUGAAGAAAAACAAAUCCCGUUAUGAAAAUACCCUGGAGAAGUUUCCCUACAGUUCUACAGCACUGGGAUUGUGGGAUGGGCAUAGUUACAGGCACUGUGGCAAUUGAAAUUCUGACAUUGUAGUUAAUAUAUUAAGUCAAAAAAUUUUAGAGUGUAGUUUCUCAAGAAGUGAUUUGGGUGAAGAGAAAGUGUUUAAGCUAGCAGAGGGGAGAAUUUUUUCUCAGAAAUUUAUCUUUCAGCUUGUAAAAGUGUUAAGCCUGGACCCAUUAAAUAUCAGGCAUGUUAAGGAGGAUUUAUCACAUUUACUUUUUCAGUUUUCCCAUCUUGCUAUCGUACCAUGUGCUAUUUCUUGCCUUGCUUGCAUAGAGCCUUGUGUGGAGGAAAAAUGAGUUGUUUGCCAGGGAGUUUGAGAUCAAGCAAUUAAAAUGGGUAAGACUUUAAACUUACACAGUGUUAUAUGUCAAUUAUAUCUCAAUAAAGCUGGGGAAAAUAUAAAAACAAUACAACUGACAAAAUUUUUUAAACAUUUUUUAAAAGUAUAGAUUAUGUACUAGAAAUAAAUAGGUAAUUAUUGACUUACAUUUUGUUUAUUUACACUUUUCCUUGGUUACGAAGAGUUCAGGUGUGUUUAAAUAUGCAGUUAAAUUUAGUGAUAUUCCUCUUUUAUCAAAGAGUAAUUAGGGGCUUCCCUGGUGGCGCAGUGGUUGAGAGUCCGCCUGCCGAUGCAGGGGACACGGGUUCGUGCCCCGGUCCGGGAAGAUCCCACAUGCCGCGGAGUGGCUGGGCCCGUGAGCCAUGGCCACUGAGCCUGCGUGUCCGGAGCCUGUGCUCCGCAAC